AACAUCAGUGUUUGUUUUUUUUGAGAAAAUUAUCCCGCUUUAAUAUUGAGAAGACAAUGAUGACACUCUUUUAUCAAGCUUUUAUUGAAUCUGUUUUAGCUUUUUCUCUGGUGUCAUGAUUUGGACAGUUGUCUCUCAAAGAACAGAACUCACUUGACCAGAUAAUUAAGUGGUCCAGUCAACUGAUUGCGGAGUUGCAGCUGAGUCUGGAGUCACAAUGCACCAGACAGCUACAGCGAAUAGCUCAGUCCAUCUUAAGAGAUG